rnacentral:tRNA from 1 species
AGAGGAGAAGGACUCGAACCAACAUCAAGAAACUCUAAUUUCACGCAUUCCNNUAUACUACCCCCUA